GACGAACGCUGGCGGCGUGCUUAACACAUGCAAGUCGAGCGAUGAAGCUUCUUCGGAAGUGGAUUAGCGGCGGACGGGUGAGUAACACGUGGGUAACCUGCCUUAUAGUGGGGAAUAGCCUUUCGAAAGGAAGAUUAAUACCCCAUAAGAUUGUAGUUUCGCAUGAAACAGCAAUUAAAGGAGCAAUUCGCUAUAAGAUGGACCCGCGGCGCAUUAGCUAGUUGGUGAGGUAACGGCUCACCAAGGCGACGAUGCGUAGCCGACCUGAGAGGGUGAUCGGCCACAUUGGGACUGAGACACGGCCCAGACUCCUACGGGAGGCAGCAGUGGGGAAUAUUGCACAAUGGGGGAAACCCUGAUGCAGCAACGCCGCGUGAGUGAUGACGGUCUUCGGAUUGUAAAGCUCUGUCUUUAGGGACGAUAAUGACGGUACCUAAGGAGGAAGCCACGGCUAACUACGUG
rnacentral:rRNA from 1 species